CCUACGUGCGGCAGCAGUGAGGAAUAUUGGUCAAUGGGCGGAAGCCUGAACCAGCCAAGUCGCGUGAGGGAAGACGGUCCUAUGGAUUGUAAACCUCUUUUGUCGGGGAGCAAAAGACGCCACGCGUGGCGUUCCGAGAGUACCCGAAGAAAAAGCAUCGGCUAACUCCGUGCCAGCAGCCGCGGUAAUACGGAGGAUGCGAGCGUUAUCCGGAUUUAUUGGGUUUAAAGGGUGCGCAGGCGGAAGAUCAAGUCAGCGGUAAAAUUGAGAGGCUCAACCUCUUCGAGCCGUUGAAACUGGUUUUCUUGAGUGAGUGAGAAGUAUGCGGAAUGCGUGGUGUAGCGGUGAAAUGCAUAGAUAUCACGCAGAACUCCGAUUGCGAAGGCAGCAUACCGGCGCUCAACUGACGCUCAUGCACGAAAGUGUGGGUAUCGAACAGGAUUAGAUACCCGGGUAGUC
rnacentral:rRNA from 1 species